rnacentral:ncRNA from 17 species
UAAUAUCUUCAGGGCAGGGUGCGAUUCCCUACCGGCGGUAAUGUACUAUUUAGUAUUAGCCCGCGAGCGUUUUGCAGACAUGGUGUGAUUCCAUGGCCGACAGUACAGUCUGGAUGAAAGAAGAAACAG